GAUGAACGCUAGCGGCAGGCUUAAUACAUGCAAGUCGAGGGGCAGCACGGGUAGCAAUACCUGGUGGCGACCGGCAAACGGGUGCGGAACACGUACGCAACCUUCCCAUAACUGGUGAAUAGCCUUCCGAAAGGGAGAUUAAUACACCGUAACAUAACGAAAAGGCAUCUUUUUGUUAUUAUAGGCUUCGGCCGGUUUUGGAUGGGCGUGCGCCUGAUUAGGUAGUUGGCGGGGUAACGGCCCACCAAGCCUGCGAUCAGUAACUGGUGUGAGAGCACGACCAGUCACACGGGCACUGAGACACGGGCCCGACUCCUACGGGAGGCAGCAGUAAGGAAUAUUGGUCAAUGGACGAAAGUCUGAACCAGCCAUGCCGCGUGAAGGAUUAAGGCCCUCUGGGUUGUAAACUUCUUUUAUCUGGGACGAAAAAAGGGCUUUCUAGCUCACUUGACGGUACCAGAGGAAUAAGCACCGGCUAACUCCGUGCCAGCAGCCGGGUAAAAUCACGUGUA
rnacentral:rRNA from 1 species